rnacentral:misc_RNA from 1 species
AACCCUUGUGGAGGAGGACGCCGAAGGUGGGGCUAAUGACUGGGGUGAAGUCGUAACAAGGUAGCCGUACCGGAAGGUGCGGCUGGAUCACCUCCUAACAGGGAGACAACAAAAUGUUAAAUAUUAAUUUUGUCACCUUAGGUCGAUCGGUAUCUCAUAUUCUUAAUUACUUUAAGAAUUUCAUUUCCUAAGUUUUUUCUAGGUCACACCCAUUACUUUUCCUGGGCCAUUAGCUCAGGUGGUUAGAGCGCACCCCUGAUAAGGGUGAGGUCCCUGGUUCAAGUCCAGGAUGGCCCAUAUCUCUAUGUUGGGGGUAUAGCUCAGUUGGUAGAGCGCCUGCUUUGCAAGCAGGAUGUCAGCGGUUCGAGUCCGCUUACCUCCACUGAUUACCACCUCUUCCAUAAAUUUAAAGAAGGGAAUAGUUAUGAGUGUUGAUUUAGAUCUGAACGAAUCUAGCUUCCUAAUAAAUAUAUUAAGAUGCUGGACUCAUUGAAUUUUAUUCAUUGUUUUCAGAGAACCUUGACAACUGCAUAGAUUAUUUUUAAAGACAAUAAGCAUCUUUAAUGAUGCAGAUUUAUUAUUUGUGCUAAUGCAUUAAUAACAAUUCUAUUGAGCUGAUGCUUCAAUUUUUUGAAGUUAUUGGUCAAGCUACAAAGGGCUCACGGAGGAUACCUAGGCACACAGAGGCGAUGA